UACAUUUCAAUAUAAAUAGGUAAUAAACAUAUUGCUAUUCAUUUAUUUUCGUUAAGGCGCGAGUCAGUACAUAGCGUCUGUGCCUUUUCCGUAUUACUUAUCUGAAUAAGCAGACGCUUUUGUCCAAAAAAGUGACAAGAUGCCCAAGAGAAAGGCUGACAAAAAAGGCAGUGAAGAGCCAGCACGGCGGUCUGCAAGGUUGUCGGCUAAACCAGCACCUCCAAAGCCAGCCCCCAAACCCAAAAAGGCAGCACCACCGAAGAAAGCAGCCAAGGGAAAGAAGCCUGCUGAAAAUGGCGAGGCCAAGGCAGAGGCACAGAAAGUCGAAGCUGCGGGAGAUGCCAAAUGAAUGGCUUUCUUUUGGGUUAUUCUGUGUACUUGGUGACUGUACAGUUUGAAAUAACUAUUUUUUACCAAGUUUUAUAUAAAAAUAUCAUUUAUAGUUUCAUUGUUGGCUUAUAUUUGAUGUACUGAAACGGUUUUAAAGUACUCUUGCAGUCAUAUCCAUUUUUAUGCCAUUGUUUAACAAGCACCGUCCUUACCCAGGCAAAAUGAUGUUUUAGGCUCCUUUUAGGUUUUAAAACUGCUGAAUGUUACAAAAAAUGAUUAUUUUUUUUGUUUUGGUUUUUAAAAGUCUAAUUUUUAAAAUACCAAACAUUAUCAUAAGGCAGCUAAAAGUGUAUUUGUAGAAAUGUUUGGAAGAAAAAAGCUUUUAAAACUUGUCAUUUUUUUAAAUAUCUGUAAUCAAUGAGUACUUGCAAAAAUUGUUAAGACCUUUCAUUUUGAGACACAGCAGUUGAAAUAGUCACUAAAUUUUUGUUAAUUUAUGAUAGGCUAUCAACCCUGAUCAGAUGUAUAAUGUGAAUUUAGCGAUUUGUUGAAACUGAUGAAAGUGUAAUUUUGUUAAAUAUACAAAAUUGUUUGAAAACAACUUUUUGUGACUCAUAAACACAAUGUGUUGUAUGUGCUUUUGAAUAAAAACAUGAAAAUGUAAA